UAUAGAUGUGGACAAGAUAACUGAUGCCUAUUGUUCUUGCAAGGCUGGACUUGGGGGUCAUUGUUCACAUAUUAUAGGCCUCCUCAAGACCUUGCAGUAUUUCAAACUGCAAAGUUUUUCCUCAAUCCCUGACCGAUUGAGCUGCACCAGUAUGCCACAAGCUUGGGGAGCACAAUCAGCUCGGGGUUUGAGGAUUGAACCCGUGCCCAUCAACCACCUCACUCUAGCACGACACGUGACUCACCGCAAGCGCAGACCGAAGGAAUGCAGUGUGGACUUGAACAAAAUAGUGACAAAGGUUGAACCCGAGGAGAUAGCUGCACUGAAAUUAUUACAUGGUACUCCAUUGACAUAUAUGCUGACGCCUUCAGCACCAACUGUCUCUACACCCCUGGGAGAAGUGCAAAUUGGGUCAGCUGUUUCCUAUCAGACAAGGAACUUGAAGG